GACGAACGCUGGCGGCGUGCCUAAUACAUGCAAGUCGAACGCUUCUUUUUCCACCGGAGCUUGCUCCACCGGAAAAAGAAGAGUGGCGAACGGGUGAGUAACACGUGGGUAACCUGCCCAUCAGAAGGGGAUAACACUUGGAAACAGGUGCUAAUACCGUAUAACAAUCAAAACCGCAUGGUUUUGAUUUGAAAGGCGCUUUCGGGUGUCGCUGAUGGAUGGACCCGCGGUGCAUUAGCUAGUUGGUGAGGUAACGGCUCACCAAGGCCACGAUGCAUAGCCGACCUGAGAGGGUGAUCGGCCACAUUGGGACUGAGACACGGCCCAAACUCCUACGGGAGGCAGCAGUAGGGAAUCUUCGGCAAUGGACGAAAGUCUGACCGAGCAACGCCGCGUGAGUGAAGAAGGUUUUCGGAUCGUAAAACUCUGUUGUUAGAGAAGAACAAGGAUGAGAGUAACUGUUCAUCCCUUGACGGUAUCUAACCAGAAAGCCACGGCUAACUACGUGCCAGCAGCCGCGGUAAUACGUAGGUGGCAAGCGUUGUCCGGAUUUAUUGGGCGUAAAGCGAGCGCAGGCGGUUUCUUAAGUCUGAUGUGAAAGCCCCCGGCUCAACCGGGGAGGGUCAUUGGAAACUGGGAGACUUGAGUGCAGAAGAGGAGAGUGGAAUUCCAUGUGUAGCGGUGAAAUGCGUAGAUAUAUGGAGGAACACCAGUGGCGAAGGCGGCUCUCUGGUCUGUAACUGACGCUGAGGCUCGAAAGCGUGGGGAG
rnacentral:rRNA from 1 species